AAAUUUGGCCGUCGCACUUGUCGUGGUGGGGGCCCAUUUACUGUAUAUAUCAAUUAGAUUUUGACCUCUAUGGGUCCGACACCUUUUCUGGCUGUGGAGACUUGUAAAUUGUAGUUUUAGGAAGGAUUCCCUCAAUUUAUUUUCUUAUAUAGGUUAUUUUGUAUUUUUUAUAAAUAUUUUUGUAAAUUAUUUUUUGUUAUAUACUUAUUUUUUUAAAAUAUUUGUAAUAAAUAUCAAAUUUGUA